AUACGAAAGGUGCAAGCGUUGUUCGGAUUUACCGGGCGUAAAGAGAGUGUAGGUUGUUUAUUAAGUCGGAUGUGAAAUCCCGGGGCUCAACCUCGGAACUGCAUUCGAUACUGAUAGGCUAGAGUUUGGGAGGGGUAAGCGGAAUUCCGUGUGUAGCAGUGAAAUGCGUAGAUAUACGGAGGAACACCUGAGGCGAAGGCGGCUUACUGGACCAAUACUGACACUGAGACUCGAAAGCGUGGGUAGCAAACAGGAUUAGAUACCCUUGUAGUCC
rnacentral:rRNA from 1 species